AUAUCACUAAGCGGAGGAAAAGAAAUUAACUAAGAUUGCCUCAGUAAUGGCGAAUGAAGCGGCAAAAGCCCAAACUGGAAAUCUUCACACUGCGUGUGACGAAUUGUAAUCUAAAGGUGGUCAUCUCAACGAAUGGAGACGCAGAAGUGACUUAGAACGGUCCGCCAGAGAGGGUGACAGCCCCGUAUGUGGUGUCUCUAUUCAACGAGAGGCUUUCUAAGAGUCGGGUUGUUUUGUAUUGCAGCCCCAAGUGGGAGAUAAACUUCUUCUAAGGCUAAAUAUAUAUGGGAGACCGAUAGCGCACAAGUA
rnacentral:rRNA from 1 species